GAAUAUUGGACAAUGGGCGAAAGCCUGAUCCAGCAAUGCCGCGUGAGUGAUGAAGGCCUUAGGGUUGUAAAGCUCUUUUACCCGGGAUGAUAAUGACAGUACCGGGAGAAUAAGCCCCGGCUAACUCCGUGCCAGCAGCCGCGGUAAUACGGAGGGGGCUAGCGUUGUUCGGAAUUACUGGGCGUAAAGGGCGCGCAGGCGGCUUUGUAAGUUGGGCGUGAAAGGCCUGGGCUUAACCCGGGAAUGGCGCUUGAGACUGCAAGGCUCGAGUACGGGAGAGGAUGGUGGAAUUCCCAGUGUAGAGGUGAAAUUCGUAGAUAUUGGGAAGAACACCGGUGGCGAAGGCAGCCAUCUGGACCGUAACUGACGCUGAGGCGCGAAAGCGUGGGGAGCAAACAGG
rnacentral:rRNA from 1 species